AAAAAUAUGGAGGCGGGCUGGACCUCUCGGGGUUACAGCCUUGCUGAAUUAUUCACCCUUGUCUUUUGCGUACUUCUUGUUUCCUUGGUGGGUUCGCCCACCACUAGGACAAACAUAAACCUUUUGUAAUUGCAAUCAGCGUCAGUAACAAAUUAAUAAUUACAACUUUCAACAACGGAUCUCUUGGUUCUGGCAUCGAUGAAGAACGCAGCGAAAUGCGAUAAGUAGUGUGAAUUGCAGAAUUCAGUGAAUCAUCGAAUCUUUGAACGCACAUUGCGCCCUUUGGUAUUCCAAAGGGCAUGCCUGUUCGAGCGUCAUUUGUACCCUCAAGCUUUGCUUGGUGUUGGGCGUCUUGUCUCUAGCUUUGCUGGAGACUCGCCUUAAAGUAAUUGGCAGCCGGCCUACUGGUUUCGGAGCGCAGCACAAGUCGCACUCUCUAUCAGCAAAGGUCUAGCAUCCAUUAAGCCUUUUUUUCAACUUUUGACCUCGGAUCAGGUAGGGAUACCCGCUGAACUUAAGCAUAUCAAUAAGCGGAGGAAA
rnacentral:rRNA from 1 species